UACGUAGGGUGCAAGCGUUGUCCGGAAUUAUUGGGCGUAAAGAGCUCGUAGGCGGUCUGUUGCGUCGGCUGUGAAAACUCAGGGCUCAACCCUGAGCGUGCUUCCGAUACGGGCAGACUAGAGGUAUGCAGGGGAGAACGGAAUUCCUGGUGUAGCGGUGGAAUGCGCAGAUAUCAGGAGGAACACCGGUGGCGAAGGCGGGUCUCUGGGCCGAUACUGACGCUGGAGGAGCGAAAGCGUGGGGAGCAAACAGG
rnacentral:rRNA from 1 species